rnacentral:rRNA from 1 species
UACGUAGGGGGCAAGCGUUGUCCGGAAUCAUUGGGCGUAAAGAGCGUGUAGGCGGUUCGGUAAGUCGGCUGUGAAAGUCCAGGGCUCAACCCUGGGAUGCCGGUCGAUACUGCCGGACUAGAGUUCGGAAGAGGCGAGUGGAAUUCCCGGUGUAGCGGUGAAAUGCGCAGAUAUCGGGAGGAACACCUAUGGCGAAGGCAGCUCGCUGGGACGUUACUGACGCUGAGACGCGAAAGCGUGGGAGCAACAGGAUAGAU